CAACCUAAGGAAGAAGACGAAGAACAGGAGC
rnacentral:sRNA from 1 species